rnacentral:rRNA from 1 species
CAGUCGCCACGGUAAUACGAGGGGGGCAAGCGUUGUUCGGAAUUAUUGGGCGUAAAGGGUGCGUAGGCGGUUCAGCAAGUCUCGUGUGAAAUCUUCGGGCUCAACCCGAAGUCUGCACGGGAAACUACUGGGCUUGAGUAAUGGAGAGGUGAGUGGAAUUUCCGGUGUAGCGGUGAAAUGCGUAGAUAUCGGAAGGAACACCUGUGGCGAAAGCGGCUCACUGGACAUUUACUGACGCUGAUGCACGAAAGCUAGGGGAGCAAACAGGAUUAGAUACCCCGGUAGUCCCUGUCUCUUAUAC